rnacentral:rRNA from 1 species
CCGAAUGACUAAGGGUUCCAGGGCCAGGUUAAUCCGCCCUGGGUUAGUCGGGACCUAAGGCGAGGCCGACAGGCGUAGUCGAUGGAUAACCAGUUGAUAUUCUGGUACCGGCAUAACACCGCCCAUACCGAGAUGAGUGAUGCUAAGCACCCAACGCCGCACGUUUACUGACCUUCGGGUUGGUGUGUGUGGCCGCGCGUGCGACCCAAACUUAUAGUAGGUAAGCGUGUUAACAGGGGUGACGCAGGAAGGUAGUUGAUCCCGGGUGAUGGUUAUCCCGGGCCAAGCAUGUGGCCUGAACCGUAGGCAAAUCCGCGGUUCAUUAAGGUGAGGUGUGAUGGGGACCCGUAGGGGGAAGUCAAUGAUCCUAUGCUGCCAAGAAAAGCCUCGACGAUAGGGGUUAUGCCGCCCGUACCCUAAACCGACACAGGUAGUCAGGUAGAGAAUACUAAGGCGAUCGAGAGAAUCAUAGUUAAGGAACUCGGCAAAUUGCCCCCGUAACUUUGGAAGAAGGGGGGCCCAAGGCGUGAACUACCCUAGCGGUGGGGAGCGUUUGAGGGCCGCAGAGACCAGAGAGAAGCGACUGUUUACUAAAAACAUAGGUCCGUGCUAACACGUAAGUGGAUGUAUACGGACUGACGCCUGCCCAGUGCUGGAAGGUUAAGAGGACGGGUUAGUACACGUAAGUGUACGAAGCUCAGAAUUUAAGCCCCAGUAAACGGCGGUGGUAACUAUAACCAUCCUAAGGUAGCGAAAUUCCUUGUCGGGUAAGUUCCGACCUGCACGAAUGGCGUAACGACUUCUCUGCUGUCUCAACUAUGAACUCGGCGAAAUUGCAUUACGAGUAAAGAUGCUCGUUACGCGCAGCAGGACGGAAAGACCCCGGGACCUUUACUACAGCUUGGUAUUGGUACUUGGAACGGUUUGUGUAGGAUAGGUGGGAGACUAUGAGACCUUCGCGCCAGCGAGGGUGGAGUCAACGUUGAAAUACCACUCUGAUCGUUUUGGGUAUCUAACUUCGGACCAUGAUCUGGUUCAGGGACAGUGCCUGGUGGGUAGUUUAACUGGGGCGGUUGCCUCCUAAAUAGUAACGGAGGCGCUCAAAGGUUCCCUCAGCUUGGUUGGUAAUCAGGCAUUGAGUGUAAGUGCACAAGGGAGCUUGACUGCAAGACGUACAGGUCGAGCAGGAACGAAAGUUGGAACUAGUGACCCGACGGUAGCGAGUGGAAGCGCCGUCGCUCAACGGAUAAAAGGUACCCCGGGGAUAACAGGCUAAUCUUGCCCAAGAGUCCAUAUCGACGGCAUGGUUUGGCACCUCGAUGUCGGCUCGUCGCAUCCUGGGGCUGGAGUCGGUCCCAAGGGUUGGGCUGUUCGCCCAUUAAAGCGGUACGCGAGCUGGGUUCAGAACGUCGUGAGACAGUUCGGUCCCUAUCCGCUGCG